rnacentral:rRNA from 1 species
UUGGGCACUCUAAGGUGACUGCCGGCUAAAAGUCGGAGGAAGAUGGGGAUGACGUCAAAUCAUCAUGCCCUUAUGACCUGGGCUACACACGUGCUACAAUGGGCGGUACAAAGGGUCGCGAACCCGCAGGGGGAGCCCAAUCCCAAAAAGCCGCUCUCAGUUCGGAUUGCAGGCUGCAACUCGCCUGCAUGAAGCCGGAAUCGCUAGUAAUCGCGGAUCAGCAUGCCGCGGUGAAUACGUUCCCGGGCCUU